rnacentral:lncRNA from 1 species
AUGAGCGGCUCCGCUGGCGAGAGGACGCGGCGCGUGUUGGGCUGGACCUCCCUCCUCUGGUUCACCUCAGCCGUCGGCUUCGCAGCCGGUAACAAGUUGGCCCUGGAGGUUCCGCUGGAGGUGAACGCCGGCUGCGGAGACAACGUGACGCUCACGUGCGACGCCCGCACCGUCCAGGCGCCCGGCGACAGCUCCGCGCCGACGCUCGACAUCCUCAUGUUCGCCUGGUUGGACGGCAAGAAGACGCUGUGUGAGAGCGUCAACGGGAACACGGACCCCGGGGAUCUGUGUGAGGUCACAGCGGGAGCGUCCCACCACCGGCUCACGCUCACGCUCCUCAACGUGAUGCCAGUCAACGAGGGGAAGUACAUCUGCAAAUUCCGGUCCAAACUGGGAUCAGUGUUCAAUGUCACCAACCUCACAGUCACACGUGAGCAGCUCUUUCCUCCACGUCCUCCUCACGGUUCCCAUCGCGCCUCUAAAAGCCUCUGCUCUUCACAGAUUGCUCUCAGCUGAUCGCGGUGGAGAGGAGCGCGUCGGUGCUGGAGAGGAGCACGACGGCGGGAGGCCGACGGGACCGCCUGCACUGGAUCUGCGCUAUGGUGGCUGUGAUCACGUUCAAGUCUGUGACAUAGAGAGAAAACCACCAGAAGCACAGCGCGUCCCAACGGGGAACCUGGCUCCAGCCAAGCGUUCCACCAGCUUCACCACAUGAGGGCAGCACCGCAUUUAGUGACGCUCAACUUUCUGCAUGUGGGACUUUGACUCUAACUCUGCUUAAAUGGAAGACUUCGCUUUGUUAGUGGGAACCGACGCUCUGACGUGGAUCAAAGGCUUUUGUUUUUUAAGGCUGUGUAAAAAUGCUGAAUAAAAAUGUGAGUAGCAUUCA